rnacentral:rRNA from 1 species
UACAGAGGUGGCAAGCGUUGUUCGGAAUUACUGGGCGUAAAGGGCGCGUAGGCGGCCUUCUAAGUCAGACGUGAAAUCCCAAGGCUUAACCUUGGAACUGCGUCGGAUACUGGAUGGCUUGAAUUCGGGAGAGGGAUGCAGAAUUCCAGGUGUAGCGGUGAAAUGCGUAGAUAUCUGGAGGAAUACCGGUGGCGAAGGCGGCAUCCUGGACCGACAUUGACGCUGAAGGCCGAAAGCUAGGGGAGCAAACGGG